CUACGGGUGGCACCAGUGAGGAAUAUUGUACAAUGGGGGGAACCCUGAUGCAGCAACGCCGCGUGGAGGAUGACGCAUUUCGGUGUGUAAACUCCUUUUAUAUGUCAAGAAAAUGACGGUAGCAUAUGAAUAAGCACCGGCUAACUCCGUGCCAGCAGCCGCGGUAAUACGGAGGGUGCAAGCGUUACUCGGAAUCACUGGGCGUAAAGGACGCGUAGGCGGGUUGGAAAGUCAGGUGUGAAAUCCUACAGCUUAACUGUAGAACUGCACUUGAAACUUCUAAUCUAGAGUAUGGGAGGGGGAGAUGGAAUUAGUGGUGUAGGGGUAAAAUCCGUAGAUAUCACUAGGAAUACCUAAAGCGAAGGCGAUCUCCUGGAACAUUACUGACGCUAAGGUGUGAAAGCGUGGGGAGCAAACAGGAUUAGAUACCCGUGUAGUC
rnacentral:rRNA from 1 species